GAUGAACGCUGGCGGCGUGCCUAAUACAUGCAAGUCGAGCGAACGGACGAGAAGCUUUCUUCUCUGAUGUUAGCGGCGGACGGGUGAGUAACACGUGGAUAACCUACCUAUAAGACUGGGAUAACUUCGGGAAACCGGAGCUAAUACCGGAUAAUAUUUUGAACCGCAUGGUUCAAAGGUGAAAGACGGUCUUGCUGUCACUUAUAGAUGGAUCCGCGCUGCAUUAGCUAGUUGGUAAGGUAACGGCUUACCAAGGCAACGAUGCAUAGCCGACCUGAGAGGGUGAUCGGCCACACUGGAACUGAGACACGGUCCAGACUCCUACGGGAGGCAGCAGUAGGGAAUCUUCCGCAAUGGGCGAAAGCCUGACGGAGCAACGCCGCGUGAGUGAUGAAGGUCUUCGGAUCGUAAAACUCUGUUAUUAGGGAAGAACAUAUGUGUAAGUAACUGUGCACAUCUUGACGGUACCUAAUCAGAAAGCCACGGCUAACUACGUG
rnacentral:rRNA from 1 species